UUUGUAUUACGUGCGGAAAUUGUUAGCAUUUUUGAGCUGAAAAUGGUAACAAUUUCCGCACGUAAUACAAA
rnacentral:miRNA from 1 species